CUGUUCCUUCAGCAUGUAAGGCAGCACGGUUCUGAAUAGGGAGCCAGGCAGCAGAAGUUAAUCCCUUCAGACAAUUCUGCAUCUUCAAUGCCUCGAAUAUUUCUACUUGGGUACUUCAUCAUCAUCUCCAAAAACUCAGUAUGUCCAAGAACAAAUCUUUCCUCGCAAGCGUUUCCUCUCCUUAUCUGACAACUUUACAAUCUACUCUGUUGAACACGCAGCAGUACUCAAUGACAACCCUUCCCUUAUAAGUGUGAAAUUCCUGGUACAGAAGAUGGUGGGAUACUUAUAAGAUCUGACUUGUUACAUCUUUAUACAAUAACAGAAAAGGUGUUUUAGUGGCUCGUAAGAUCCCUCCGGCUGUGUCAAAAGAUAUGUGGCAUCUUCUGAACAGACAGGCCCUACUCCAAAGAACAGAAGCAGAAGGCAUAAUGAGCAAAUAAAAGUAAAUCAAGAUGAACUGAAGAUCAAAGUGGAUGAUUAUACUGUACUGCAAAAGCUCCCAAGGUCAUCAAGAAAAGACCUGCAAUUUUGGACAGUUUCCCAGUGCACAGAGACAAGGAAAAUGUCUGUUUCAUGGGUAUCUGUCCUUCUUUUCAUUUUGAUCAACAAAUGAUUACAGGCAUAUCAUGAAGUGAGUUGGAUUAAACCCUUUGGAUUAACCUCAGACACAGAUUGACACAUUGGAUAAUUUCUGCUGUGGGUGCCAUGGCAUUGUUCAUACCUGUAAAUCACAGUCAAGCAUAAAGGCAACCUUUCUAUUUCUUACUUUGAAAAUAUGAUCAUCUGUGAAGUUGU